UACGGAGGAUCCGAGCGUUAUCCGGAUUUAUUGGGUGUAAAGGGUGCGUAGACGGGAGAACAAGUUAGUUGUGAAAUCCCUCGGCUUAACUGAGGAACUGCAACUAAAACUAUUUUUCUUGAGUGCUGGAGAGGAAAGUGGAAUUCCUAGUGUAGCGGUGAAAUGCGUAGAUAUUAGGAGGAACACCAGUGGCGAAGGCGACUUUCUGGACAGUAACUGACACUGAGGCACGAAAGCGUGGGGAGCAAACAGGAUUAGAUACCCUGGUAGUCCCUGAG
rnacentral:rRNA from 1 species